rnacentral:ncRNA from 1 species
GAAAGCCGGAUGCUUGGAAACUUGCUUGUCCGGUUUGGACGGGGGCUGAUUGUAAAUAAAACAGUAAAUACAAAUCGCUGAAUAAAGCGCAAUUAAUCUAUCCGUAU